rnacentral:misc_RNA from 1 species
GAUGAAGAACAUAGCGAAAUGCGAUACUUGGUGUGAAUUGCAGAAUCCCGUGAACCAUCGAGUCUUUGAACGCAAGUUGCGCCCGAAGCCAUUAGGCCGAGGGCACGCCUGCCUGGGCGUCACACGUCGUUGCCCCCCCAUCUACUCCUUCGGGAUUGCGGGGGGCGGAUGAUGGCCUCCCGUGCGCCUCGUCGCGCGGUUGGCCUAAAUGCCAAGUCCUCGGCGACGCACGCCACGACAAUCGGUGGUUGCGAAACCUCGGUUGCCCGUCGUGUGCGGUCGUCGCGCAUCGAGGGCUCGAAAAAAUUGCCGGGCUUCGGCUCGACUUUCAACGCGACCCCAGGUCAGGCGGGGUUACCCGCUGAAUUUAAGCAUAUCAAUAAGCGGAGGA